UACGGCUGUAUCGCGUUGAAAUACCGGUUCCCGUACGAUCACAGAAGUUAACAAUGAGCCUGGUUAGUACCUAGCUGGGUGACGGUUUGGAAAUACCAGGUGCUGUGA